rnacentral:snRNA from 1 species
AGCUUUGCACAGUGGCAGUAUCAUAGCCAAUGAGGUUUAUCCAAGGUGCAAUUAUUGCUAAGUGUUUAAAAGUGUUGUUUUAUGUGGUUUGUUUUGUUAGCAUUUUGAAUUUUUAGGCAAUUUUUGGCAUCACAAUGCUGUU